rnacentral:rRNA from 1 species
AUGCAGUUUGAGCCUUAUAGGAAGGUAGCAGCUGUAUGGCGCGAUUUCAGUUCAGGAGUUUUAAGGGCCACAAGCGGAGUAGAUCUUGCCUCUCUAAGCGCUCUAACCAGUGAGACAAUGUUAAGCACAUGCCGGAUCAACAAGGCUGGAAUUGGAGGCCCCCUUGUUGAUUUUGAUGGUAACUUUGUUGGGAUGAACUGCUCUCGUACCAGAAUGAAAAAGACCCCCUACGUGCGAAGGGAGCAAAUUCUUCAAUUCUUGCGGUAUCACCGGAUGGUCUGUGUUAGAGCUAAGGAAGGGAUUGAUGAUGCUGAAGAAGCGGGAAUCGAAAGUGAGAUGAAACAACUAUUUUGCAGUAUUCCCUCUAGCAAGUGUAAGAUUCAUUUUAUGGAAACACAAUUCGUCGACGAUAUCUGGAGUAAACUACCCAAAGGUGUUGCUUCAAAAAUGUCUCGAAGUGUUGUCUCACUUGCUUCAUUCAAUGGAGUUGCAAAAUUCUUUGCUUGCACUGGUGUAUUUAUAAAGUGCAAUGCAUGCUCUGCAACAAUUCUGACUUCAGCAAGUUUGGUUAGAGUUUCUGGUGUUGCACACAGGAUUAAUGAUAACCUGAGGAUUGAAGUUUGCCUUCCAAACGAAUUUCGAGUUGUAGGGAUAUUGAGCCUUUAUAAUUUACAUUACAACAUUGCUCUUGUUGACAUCAUGGGGUACUGGGGUCCUCGUGAAAUAAAAAUCAGCCGGCAUCAAGUUACCUCAUGUAACAAGGUAAUAGCUGUGGGCCGUCUUUUUACUCAUCACAAUAUUAAUGGCUGCAAAGGGGAAGAUGUUGAUUGGCAAAUGAAGCAAACUCGAUUGCAUAGAACUUUGUGUCUCCACGUGUAA